AAGGAAUCCAGUGCCAAAAUACGAAACUUCUUGAAACUUCUGAAGGAUAAAAGUGUCAUUUUAUGGCUACACUUUAUGAUGGAUGUGGUCAAAAGUCUCAGUACCGUCUCUCUGAAGAUUCAGGAUCAACAGAGUACCAUUGCCGAUAUCUACAGUGAAUUAGACAGCGCAAAAGCAAUUUUGAACAAGUUCAAGAGAAGACUUUGGGGAUGAAAAUUUGCAACAACUUGUUACAUCUGCUAGACCAGCCCUAGAGGCAUGUUGUCCCUCUAUUGACAUCGAGGGGAUAGAACUUGAAUGGACACGGCUUAAAACAUCUCUGAUAAAAUACAGGUCAAUCUCACAUCUAACCUGGAAACGACUUUAUGAGGAUUUUGGA